UACAGAGGGGGCAAGCGUUGUUCGGAAUUACUGGGCGUAAAGGGCGCGUAGGCGGCCUGUUAAGUCGAACGUGAAAUCCCCGGGCUCAACCCGGGAACUGCGUCCGAUACUGGCAGGCUUGAAUCCGGGAGAGGGAUGCGGAAUUCCAGGUGUAGCGGUGAAAUGCGUAGAUAUCUGGAGGAACACCGGUAGCGAAGGCGGCAUCCUGGACCGGUAUUGACGCUGAGGCGCGAAAGCCAGGGGAGCAAACGGG
rnacentral:rRNA from 1 species